GAAAUGCGAUACGUAGUGUGAAUCGCAGGGAUCAGUGAAUCAUCGAAUCUUUGAACGCAAGUUGCGCUCUCGUGGUUUAACCCCCCGGGAGCACGUUCGCUUGAGUGCCGCUUCUAUCCAUUAACAAGUCCCAUUAUAUAUAUAUAUGUA
rnacentral:misc_RNA from 1 species